rnacentral:tRNA from 1 species
GCUGAGGUGGCAGAGUUUUAUGCGUUAGACUUAAAAUCUAGAGACGGGCUUUUAGUGCCCUCUUAGUA